UUGCUAACUUCAGCAGCAUAUAUGCUAAAAUUGGAAUGAUACAGAGAAGAUUAGCAUGGCACCUGUGCAAGAAUGACAUGUGAAUUCAUAAAUCAUUCCCUAUAUUU